UACAGAGGUCUCAAGCGUUGUCCGGAAUUAUUGGGCGUAAAGCGCGCGCAGGCGGUCCUUUAAGUCUGAUGUGAAAGCCCUCGGCUCAACCGAGGAGGGUCAUUGGAAACUGGAGGACUUGAGUGCAGAAGAGGAAAGUGGAAUUCCAAGUGUAGCGGUGAAAUGCGUAGAGAUUUGGAGGAACACCAGUGGCGAAGGCGACUUUCUGGUCUGUAACUGACGCUGAGGCGCGAAAGCGUGGGGAGCAAACAGG
rnacentral:rRNA from 1 species